CCCAGCAUGCCUCGCUUCCGGCCCUGGUGGGCGGGGCCCCGACUUCCCCUCCGCAGCUGCCCCUGCACGACAGGACACGUAGCCCGUGGCUGCCUCGGGACCACCCAGCAGCGAGCCCAGGCCCCAUACAGCGGCCACCGUGAGCAGGCCCACUGUGAGGUUCGCUUGGGCCCACUCCAGCCCAGCCAGCACUGACCCCUGAAGCCCUCCCCGAGGCCCACCGUGGUCCAGCGCUGGCCGUGGCCCUCAGGGCAGAGGCCGGGCUGUGCAGAGGAGGCUGGAAACUUGGUCCCGCCCGCAGGCAGCCCGCACUCAACACCAACCUUAAAGUUGUCCAGCCCUGACGUACAGGAGGACCAGCAGCCCCAUGAACAGAGUUUUCAAAUGUGGGCCAGUACUCAUUCAUUCCCGAAAGGCCCCCAAACAACCCCCUGGGGUCUUGCCCUGAGUGGUCACAGACACAGAUGCCUCCAGAAGGGUUCGACUCCUCCCCGCUGGGGCCUCAGAAAAGCUGGUCUGCAUUUUCUCACCUGUCCACGCAGUGAGCGGCUGUCAUCACCCAGUUCCUUCUGAUGAGGGUCCCUCCGCAGGUGUGGUACCAGUUACCUCUGGACAGGUACUGGAGGGAAAUCUAGACGGGGAAGGAAGAAAGAAGGAUCUUUUCCAGGAGAGCAACCUGGGAGCACCCGCCACCCCACCUUACUACAAUGGCUCCCCAAGGAUGGCUACUCCCCACUACGUCUCAGCACCUCUGCAAGCGCCAGUCGCGGCCUUCUGUGUGUAAGGAAGAAGAGAUGGCAUGAAGCGUGUAAAGCCCUCAGUCCAGUGCCUGGCACACACCACCAUCUUUCAGAGCCGAGACUCGGGGCUCCUCUCCUUUCUGCACCCAGUUGUUCCUCAGUGUCCGGUUCCCUGCCUCCCUGGCUCCUCUAGACAAGUUUGCCAGGUAGGACACACAGGGGUUGAUGUCUUACUUCCUGGGUCAGCGAGCAGCAAGCAGUCUUAUUCUAAUCUUCUUUAUGACCUCCUCUGCAUGUACAAUUUUUUUUUGAAACAAAAAGAUGCCAAGCAGCUUUUUAAUUAAAUUAAGAACAUGUACCAAGUGCCUGCCAUUGGCCGGGCAGUGGUGAGUCCAGCCAUCCAGGGGACGGUGACCUGCCAGAGGUAGUGCAGGGCUGAGAGAGCCCGCAGGGGAAAAGCCGACCUGAAUCUGGGGUGCAGAGGGCUUUCUGAAGGGGGGGGCGUCUCUGCUGAGCUCUCAGUCCCUCUGAGUGGGGGUUACUUCGCAGCCUUGUUAUCCGGUGCAAACCCUCAGGGCACUGCAGAUGCUACAUUCUGAAACAGCCCAUCCUGAAACACUCCAAAGCUCACUUAUGUUGUAUUAACUGCGAUUCAGGUUUAUCCAUGUCACUGUUCUGUCCCUAACUGUGCAGAACGGAGUUGCCUGUAGUGUCAGAAGUGGAGGUG